GACGAACGCUGGCGGCGUGGAUUAGGCAUGCAAGUCGAACGGUAUCAUCCUUUCGGGGGUGAGAGAGUGGCGAACUGGUGAGUAACACGUAGGUUAUCUACCCUCAAGACGGGGACAACCCAGGGAAACUUGGGCUAAUACCGGAUGUGAGCAACUUUUUAGUUGUUUGAAAGGUGGCGUAAGCUGUCGCUUGGGGAUGAGCCUGCGUCCUAUUAGUUAGUUGGUGAGGUAACGGCUCACCUAGGCAAUGAUAGGUAGGCGGCCUUAACGGGUGGUCGCCCACACUGGGAUUGAGAUACGGCCCAGACUCCUACGGGAGGCAGCAGUCGAGAAUAGUCUACAAUGGUCGGAAGACUGAUAGUGCGACGCCGCGUGAACGAUGAAUCCCUUCGGGGUGUAAAGUUCUUUUAUAUGUGAGCAGUGCUUCUUAUAUUAACAGUAUGGGGAAGAGAUAUUAGCAUAUGAAUAAGCAACGGCUAACUCCGUGCCAGCAGCCGGGUAAUCUCG
rnacentral:rRNA from 1 species